ACGAACGCUGGCGGCACGCUUAACACAUGCAAGUCGAACGAGAGAAGAGGAGCUUGCUUUUCUGAUCUAGUGGCGGACGGGUGAGUAACACGUGAGCAAUCUGCCUUUCAGAGGGGGAUACCGAUUGGAAACGAUCGUUAAUACCGCAUAACAUAAUUGAACCGCAUGAUUUGAUUAUCAAAGAUUUAUCGCUGAAAGAUGAGCUCGCGUCUGAUUAGCUAGUUGGUAAGGUAACGGCUUACCAAGGCGACGAUCAGUAGCCGGACUGAGAGGUUGAUCGGCCACAUUGGGACUGAGACACGGCCCAGACUCCUACGGGAGGCAGCAGUGGGGAAUAUUGCACAAUGGAGGAAACUCUGAUGCAGCGAUGCCGCGUGAGGGAAGAAGGUUUUAGGAUUGUAAACCUCUGUCUUCAGGGACGAAAAAAGACGGUACCUGAGGAGGAAGCUCCGGCUAACUACGUGCCAGCAGCCGCGGUAAUACGUAGGGAGCGAGCGUUGUCCGGAAUUACUGGGUGUAAAGGGAGCGUAGGCGGGAUCGCAAGUCAGAUGUGAAAACUAUGGGCUUAACCCAUAAACUGCAUUUGAAACUGUGGUUCUUGAGUGAAGUAGAGGUAAGCGGAAUUCCUAGUGUAGCGGUGAAAUGCGUAGAUAUUAGGAGGAACAUCAGUGGCGAAGGCGGCUUACUGGGCUUUAACUGACGCUGAGGCUCGAAAGCGUGGGGAGCAAACAGGAUUAGAUACCCUGGUAGUCCACGCCGUAAACGAUGAUUACUAGGUGUGGGGGGACUGACCCCUUCCGUGCCGCAGCAAACGCAAUAAGUAAUCCACCUGGGGAGUACGACCGCAAGGUUGAAACUCAAAGGAAUUGACGGGGGCCCGCACAAGCAGUGGAGUAUGUGGAUUAAUUCGAAGCAACGCGAAGAACCUUACCAGGUCUUGACAUCGUAUGCAUAGCUCAGAGAUGAGUGAAAUCUCUUCGGAGACAUAUAGACAGGUGGUGCAUGGUUGUCGUCAGCUCGUGUCGUGAGGUGUUGGGUUAAGUCCCGCAACGAGCGCAACCCUUACUGUUAGUUGCUACGCAAGAGCACUCUAGCAGGACUGCCGUUGACAAAACGGAGGAAGGUGGGGAUGACGUCAAAUCAUCAUGCCCCUUAUGACCUGGGCCUCACACGUACUACAAUGGCUGUCAACAGAGGGAAGCAAAGCCGCGAGGUGGAGCAAACCCCUAAAAGCAGUCUUAGUUCGGAUUGUAGGCUGCAACCCGCCUACAUGAAGUCGGAAUUGCUAGUAAUCGCAGAUCAGCAUGCUGCGGUGAAUACGUUCCCGGGCCUUGUACACACCGCCCGUCACGCCAUGGGAGUCGGUAACACCCGAAGCCUGUAGUCUAACCGCAAGGAGGACGCAGUCGAAGGUGGGAUUGAUGACUGGGGUG
rnacentral:rRNA from 1 species